AACGAACGCUGGCGGCAUGCCUAACACAUGCAAGUCGAACGAGACCUUCGGGUCUAGUGGCGCACGGGUGCGUAACGCGUGGGAAUCUGCCCCUCGGUUCGGAAUAACAGUUAGAAAUGACUGCUAAUACCGGAUGAUGACUUCGGUCCAAAGAUUUAUCGCCGAGGGAUGAGCCCGCGUAAGAUUAGGUAGUUGGUGGGGUAAAGGCCUACCAAGCCGACGAUCUUUAGCUGGUCUGAGAGGAUGAUCAGCCACACUGGGACUGAGACACGGCCCAGAAUCAUGCGGGAGGCAGCAGUGGGGAAUAUUGGACAAUGGGCGAAAGCAGGAUCCAGCAAUGCCGCGUGAGUGAUGAAGGCCUUAGGGUUGUAAGGCUCUUUUACCAGGGAUGAUAAUGACAGUACCUGGAGAAUAAGCUCCGGCUAACUCCGUGCCAGCCGCCGCCGUAA
rnacentral:rRNA from 1 species